UUCAUUUUAAUCAUCAGUGCUCAUCUAAACAUUUUCUUAUACGUUCUGCCGUUCUGGGCCCAAAUUACUAUUGAAAGUUGUGGAGUUUUUUCAGUGUCAACGUUAUCGGAGUUAUUAUGAUAAGGGCUCGUUUGAUUGCCCUGAUAGGGUAAGAUAAGCCCUCCUAUCUAGGGCUUAUCUCGUUUGUGAUUGCCCUGACAGUAAUGCACGACGACCCGGGAUACAACCCCAACCCGAGAGAAAUUAAGAUACCACGCAAUGUUUCCUGUAUAUGCGUAUCAGGGUCUUCCCCCCUGAUAAGCUUGUAUGCUAUCGAUCCUGAUAGUUGGAAUUGCACUGAUUGCCUAAAAAACCCCUUUCCCUCUCGUGAAUUCAAAGUUGUAGGAAUAAAUUUUAUGAGCGGUCGAGGAUAUAUGCGGCGGAAAUUUUAAUCGACUGAUAAUCGUGUUCACCGAUUCCUUCAUCCGCCCCAUUCCAGUUUCGGCUCCAAAUUUGCUGUUUGCGCAUUAUACAAUUGGGUAUCUCUAAUUUCACGCAGUUGUCGAUGGCUAAUGAAGAAAGUUCCCGAACGGUAUGCUAAAACUUUGCAACAGAAUCAAGUGUCCACUGAUUGCAAUUGAAAUUGUCGAUUGACCAAUUUCACUUGCCUAUUGCACAUAUUCAUGAUUGAAUUAUUUCAAUUGUCGAUUUCCAUUGAAUUUGAUAGUUAAAUUUGGUUAAAGUCAGUGAAUUAGAUUGUUAAAUUUGACUCCUUAAAAGUAUGGGUCUAAUUCAGGAUUGAUUUAAUUGAACACGUCUUUGUAGUUGAGGUUUUGGUUUUGGUUUUGUUUUGGUUUUUGUUGCUGAGUUACUACAUUAGGUUUUGAGCUAUUUUCAAAUUGGAUUGUGAGGUAUCUGCAUAUGGAAUGCAUUUUCAGGUUGCAUGUCCGAAUAAUGACUUGACAACCGUGUUGCUCUUGCUUGAGGAAAUAAUUCGGAACUACCAAACUAACUUGUUACACAUCUCGUUUAUGAUCACAAUGUUAUGCCCACAAAACCGCAAGCGUAAACGUUGGGAUCGUCUAGGUCAGUCUGUGGUUUUAGACUCUAUUCCGGCUCAUGUUCGUCAUCUGGAUAGACUAUUUCGAGAAUCAGAUAGGACAUGUGUGUAUAACUUAAGAAUGGACAAAAACCAUCAUACAUUGUGGCUUGAAACAAGGGCGUUGUAUGCAAUUACAUACCUGAUGUCUUAUAAUUUAGUGGUAAAAAGUUUCCCAGUUGAAUUUGCAGAAUUGUGUUUGUGUUGCAGCAUUUAGCCUUCCUCGGCGAAGAGCAAAAAAGACUGGCGCGAGAAUAAAAAUUUGGGCGCCUUUUAUGAUUUGUUAUGGAUGGUGUUAGGUUUUGAAGGACAAAAUUGGAUAUAUACAAAUUGUAUGAGGGCAAA